rfam:Stegodyphus mimosarum contig79072, whole genome shotgun sequence.
UCCUUCGUGGUGUAACGGUUAGCACGCUCGGCACGCAUUCGAGAAGUCCAGGUUCGAGUCCCGGAGAGGGCA